rnacentral:rRNA from 1 species
UAGGGAAUCUUCCGCAAUGGGCGAAAGCCUGACGGAGCAACGCCGCGUGAGUGAUGAAGGUCUUCGGAUCGUAAAACUCUGUUAUUAGGGAAGAACAAAUGUGUAAGUAACUAUGCACGUCUUGACGGUACCUAAUCAGAAAGCCACGGCUAACUACGUGCCAGCAGCCGCGGUAAUACGUAGGUGGCAAGCGUUAUCCGGAAUUAUUGGGCGUAAAGCGCGCGUAGGCGGUUUUUUAAGUCUGAUGUGAAAGCCCACGGCUCAACCGUGGAGGGUCAUUGGAAACUGGAAAACUUGAGUGCAGAAGAGGAAAGUGGAAUUCCAUGUGUAGCGGUGAAAUGCGCAGAGAUAUGGAGGAACACCAGUGGCGAAGGCGACUUUCUGGUCUGUAACUGUCGCUGAUGUGCGAAAGCGUGGGGAUCAAACAGG